UGUGUAGGCGGGCCAGCAAGUCAGAGGUGAAAUCCUGCGGCUUAACCGUAGAACUGCCUCUGAUACUGCUGAUCUUGAGUCUCGGAGAGGUCACUAGAAUUCGUGGUGUAGCGGUGAAAUGCGUAGAUAUCACGAGGAAUACCUGAGGCGUAGGCGGGUGACUGGACGAGUACUGACGCUGAGGCACGAAAGCGUGGGGAGCAAACA
rnacentral:rRNA from 1 species